rnacentral:misc_RNA from 1 species
GAUGAAGAACGCAGCGAAAUGCGAUAAGUAAUGUGAAUUGCAGAAUUCAGUGAAUCAUCGAAUCUUUGAACGCACAUUGCGCCCGCCAGCAUUCUGGCGGGCAUGCCUGUUCGAGCGUCAUUUCAACCCUCGAGCCCCCCCGGGGGCCUCGGUGUUGGGGGAAGGCACACCAGCCGCCCCCGAAAUGCAGUGGCGACCCCGCCGCAGCCUCCCCUGCGUAGUAGCACACACCUCGCACCGGAGCGCGGAGGCGGUCACGCCGUAAAACGCCCAACUUUCUUAGAGUUGACCUCGGAUCAGGUAGGAAUACCCGCUGAACUUAAGCAUAUCAAUAAGCGGAGGA